CGGGUGAGUAAUGUAUGGGGAUCUGCCUGAUGGCGGGGGAGUAAUACUGGAAACGGUAGCUAAUACCGCAUAAUGUCUGCGGACCAAAGCGGGGGACCUCCGGGCCUCGCGCCAUCAGAUGAACCCAUAUGGGAUUAGCUAGUAGGUAAGGUAACGGCUUACCUAGGCGACGAUCCCUAGCUGGUCUGAGAGGAUGAUCAGCCACACUGGGACUGAGACACGGCCCAG
rnacentral:rRNA from 1 species